AAAAAAUAUUUUUCAUUUAGCAAACAUGUCAGAGAAGCAAAAUUCAGAAAUGAUGUGCAGUGUCACCAACAGGUCAAAAAAGUAAGGACAAUCUAUAAUUGUGGUCAUGAAAUUAUGCAUCAUCCGUGAACACAAAAGUCAGUCAUCAACUAUUUACAUGGUAACCCUGAAUUAUUUAGAUUUACUUCCUACAUGCAUAAAAAUAAACCUCUCAUGAUUUCGUUGGACAUCACAUAUCAAAAGGGAGAAAAAUGAAACCUAAGACAAUUGAAUCAUAAUGAUUUUUUUCUAUGUGGAAGUAGAUAAUUUCCUUAUCUUUCAGACAGCCACUCCAGAAACUAAUCAUACAAUCAAAUUUAGUUAGAAAUUUAGAGCAUGCUAGCACAGAACAAUAGGAGCUAUGAAUUUACACAUGCUAGCUGUAGAUUGUCUAGAAAAAUCGAAAACCAAAUACUUGGUGCCAGCAGAUCUAAAGAAUCAUUGUGUUUUAGGAACACCCACCGAUCGGAGCAGGCAACAACGGAGCUGCCUUGGGGCCGCCAUCGACUUGGAGCUCCUUGUUGAGCCGCACAGA
rnacentral:lncRNA from 1 species